GGACGGAGCAGCGUUUGCUUCCUCCCGUGUGAAAUGUGCCAGGACGGUGAAAACCAGCGUGACCGUAACAAUUGAGAGCCUUCCUUCACAGACAGCAGCUGAGGGCGAAGGCUUUUCUCCCUCUCCUCUGCUCGUUUCCUCUUGGAGCUCGAUGAACUGGCGGAGAGGUCAAAGGAAAAUGUUGACACGUCAAAUCCCCUCCACCUUUAGCUCCCGUUUGUCCCCCGAUCCCACCCCCUUUGUACCCCUUCAUUAACAUUGUUGGGCCGUGCUCAAAAGCGCAUGCCUGCGGUCCAACGCAGGGGUCCUGCGGCGCGGGCGCAUGCUAGCGUGCGGCGCGGCCCGCGCGGCGGUGGGCUCUCGCGUCAGCUGUCAGGCAGACGGUGAUGGAUGCACGCUGGAAACAUACUUGGAUUCUGAGCUAUGUCCUUCUCAUUGAAGUCCUUUCACACCAUGCUUGACCCUCAGGCUGCCGCCCUAAAAAUAAGUGCGGGAUGGAGAUGAGGCUGUAAGAUGUCUCCUCGGGACUCCCAUGUGUCUGGACACACAACAGAGACACGGCUGCAGUAGUAGAAUCCCCCUCCGCUGAUUUUCCAUGAAUCUCGAGACCAAUCAACAUGUUCCUAGCAGAGUUAAUACCAGCGCUCGGCUCCAUCAUCAUCUUGAGUGCUUUCAUUAAAGGGCAUUUUUAUUCCUCUGAACCCGGCUGCUCCCUCAGAGUUGCACAUUUCAGUUUAACCUGGUCUCUAUGGCAACGUACCAAAAAAAAAAAAAGAUAAAAUAAACGCAACGUAGUCACUUUGCUUUUCGACUUUGCGGUUUGAUUGAGACGGCGGCCGAAGGACGCGAGUGGUCCACUUAAAGAGACAGAGUGAGAAUGUGGAGGAGAAGAAUAGCAGCGUUGAGAGCUGGAGCUUGAUAAUAACUGCUUUGAGGCUUCAAUGACCAACUUCUGAUGCUAUGUGGCUUAUAGUUAUCAGUAGCUGCAACACAGAGUGUAAUCAUUUAUGCCUCUAAUUAGUAAUGAAUGGAACAACAGUUUGUAUGCGUUUGUGUUUGUGGAAACAUUUUGGACUAAAAAAGUUUUAAAAAUUAAUAAUAAAGUUUUAAGCUGCA